rnacentral:rRNA from 1 species
AUUGAACGCUGGCGGCAGGCCUAACACAUGCAAGUCGAGCGGAUGAGUGGAGCUUGCUCCAUGAUUCAGCGGCAGACGGGUGAGUAAUGCCUAGGAAUCUGCCUGGUAGUGGGGGACAACGUUUCGAAAGGAACGCUAAUACCGCAUACGUCCUACGGGAGAAAGCAGGGGACCUUCGGGCCUCGCGCUAUCAGAUGAGCCUAGGUCGGAUUAGCUAGUAGGUGAGGUAAUGGCUCACCUAGGCGACGAUCCGUAACUGGUCUGAGAGGAUGAUCAGUCACACUGGAACUGAGACACGGUCCAGACUCCUACGGGAGGCAGCAGUGGGGAAUAUUGGACAAUGGGCGAAAGCCUGAUCCAGCCAUGCCGCGUGUGUGAAGAAGGUCUUCGGAUUGUAAAGCACUUUAAGUUGGGAGGAAGGGCAGUAAGCUAAUACCUUGCUGUUUUGACGUUACCAACAGAAUAAGCACCGGCUAACUUCGUGCCAGCAGCCGCCGUAACAC